GAUGAACGCUGGCGGCGUGCCUAAUACAUGCAAGUCGAGCGAACAGACGAGGAGCUUGCUCCUCUGACGUUAGCGGCGGACGGGUGAGUAACACGUGGAUAACCUACCUAUAAGACUGGGAUAACUUCGGGAAACCGGAGCUAAUACCGGAUAAUAUAUUGAACCGCAUGGUUCAAUAGUGAAAGACGGUUUUGCUGUCACUUAUAGAUGGAUCCGCGCCGCAUUAGCUAGUUGGUAAGGUAACGGCUUACCAAGGCGACGAUGCGUAGCUGACCUGAGAGGAUGAGCAGGGAGAAUGGAAGUGAGAAACGGGAGAGAGGCCUAAGGGAGGAAGCAGAGGGGAAUAUUGGACAAUGGGCGAAAGACUGAUCCAGACAUGCAACGUGUGGGAAGAAGGUGUUCGGAGUGUAAAGCAAUGUAAGUGGGGAGGAAGGGCAGUAAGUUAAGACCUUGCUGUUUUGACGUUACCAACAGAAUAAGCACCGGCUAACGUAGUG
rnacentral:rRNA from 1 species